rnacentral:lncRNA from 1 species
UUCUUUCUUGCCCUUAUCGUUUGGAAAUCUUUUUCAAAGGUGAAAUAUUCUUCUCAUCUCUUUCCUUAAUUCAUUUUAGCUUUUAUUUUAAGAAAAUUCUUCUUGCAUCAUAUCAAUUUGUGUAGGAACUAAAAUGAAAUAACACGUAAAAUUGGAAGGGAAUUGAAUUCACUACAAAUUGAAAUGAACAUUAGGCAUUUUAUAGCCUUUU